rnacentral:lncRNA from 1 species
AUAAUCACUCCUUAUUUGUGACGUUUGUGUGGAGUGGCUUGGUUUGGAGAUUCUGACUCAGCAUCUCUCACAAGGUUUCCAUCUCAUAUCACCCAGGGCUGCAGUCACCCGAAGGCUCAACUGAGGCUGGAGGAUCCACUUCUAAGGUGCCUGGAAGACUGGUUCAUGGUUGACAGCUAGACCCUGCAGAAAGGGGAACAGAAGAGGCCAGUGUUGCUGUUUCCGAGGGUCAGAAGUAAUAAGCUCCAUAUAGUUCAUGAGUAUGCUGUCCUGUUCAUUUUUCAGGUAAGUCCUAUCUAAAUCUUUGUUGUCAAAAUAAUAGUUGUUAUUUUUGUCAUGAUU